AUACGUAGGGGGCAAGCGUUAUCCGGAUUUACUGGGUGUAAAGGGAGCGUAGACGGAAGGCCAAGUCUGAUGUGAAAGCCCGCGGCUCAACUGCGGGACUGCAUUGGAAACUGGUCAUCUGGAGUGCAGGAGGGGUAAGCGGAAUUCCUAGUGUAGCGGUGAAAUGCGUAGAUAUUAGGAGGAACACCGGUGGCGAAGGCGGCUUACUGGACUGUAACUGACGUUGAGGCUCGAAAGCGUGGGGAGCAAACAGGAUUAGAUUCCCUGGUAGUCCACGCCGUAAACGAUGAAUACUAGGUGUCGGGUUUCUAUAGAGAUUCGGUGCCGCAGCAAACGCAAUAAAUAUUCCACCUGGGGAGUACGUUCGCAAGAAUGAAACUCAAAUGAAUUGGCGGGG
rnacentral:rRNA from 1 species